AUUGAACGCUGGCGGCAGGCCUAACACAUGCAAGUCGAACGGUAACAGGAAGAAGCUUGCUUCUUUGCUGACGAGUGGCGGACGGGUGAGUAAUGUCUGGGAAACUGCCUGAUGGAGGGGGACAACUACUGGAAACGGUAGCUAAUACCGCAUAACGUCGCAAGACCAAAGAGGGGGACCUUCGGGCCUCUUGCCAUCGGAUGUGCCCAGAUGGGAUUAGCUAGUAGGUGGGGUAACGGCUCACCUAGGCGACGAUCCCUAGCUGGUCUGAGAGGAUGACCAGCCACACUGGAACUGAGACACGGUCCAGACUCCUACGGGAGGCAGCAGUGGGGAAUAUUGCACAAUAGGCGCAAGCCUGAUGCAGCCAUGCCGCGUGUAUGAAGAAGGCCUUCGGGUUGUAAAGUACUUUCAGCGGGGAGGAAGGGAGUAAAGUUAAUACCUUUGCUCAUUGACGUUACCCGCAGAAGAAGCACCGGCUAACUCCGUG
rnacentral:rRNA from 1 species